rnacentral:misc_RNA from 1 species
GAUGAAGAACGUAGCGAAAUGCGAUAAGUAAUGUGAAUUGCAGAAUUUAGUGAAUCAUCGAAUCUUUGAACGCACCUUGCGCUCCUUGGUAUUCCGAGGAGCAUGCCUGUUUGAGUGUCAUGAAAUUCUCAACCUUUUCAGCUUUCUUUGUUGAUCAGGCUUGGAUGUGGGAGUAUGCGGGCUUCUCAGAAGUCGGCUCUCCUGAAAUGCAUUAGCGGGACCUUUGUUGCCUGGCUUUGGUGUGAUAAUUAUCUACGCCAUUGUAGUCAAGCAGCUUAAAAUGAGGUUUCAGCUUCUAACCGUCUCCCCUGAGACAACUUUUUGACAAUUUGACCUCAAAUCAGGUAGGACUACCCGCUGAACUUAAGCAUAUCAAUAAGCGGAGGA